GACGAACGCUGGCGGCGUGCCUAAUACAUGCAAGUCGAGCGGAACUGGGGGAGCUUGCUCCUUCCAGUUUAGCGGCGGACGGGUGAGUAACACGUGGGCAACCUGCCCUGCAGAUCGGGAUAACUCCGGGAAACCGGUGCUAAUACCGAAUAGUUUGGCGCCUCUCCUGAGGCGCUACGGAAAGACGGUUUCGGCUGUCACUGCAGGAUGGGCCCGCGACGCAUUAGCUAGUUGGGGGGGUAACGGCCCACCAAGGCGACGAUGCGUAGCCGACCUGAGAGGGUGACCGGCCACGCUGGGACUGAGACACGGCCCAGACUCCUACGGGAGGCAGCAGUAGGGAAUCUUCCGCAAUGGACGCAAGUCUGACGGAGCAACGCCGCGUGAGUGACGAAGGUUUUCGGAUCGUAAAACUCUGUUGUGAGGGAAGAACACGUACCAACUAACUAUUGGUACCUUGACGGUACCUCACCAGAAAGCCACGGCUAACUACGUGCCAGCCGCCGCAGUAA
rnacentral:rRNA from 1 species